rnacentral:rRNA from 1 species
UACGGAGGGUGCAAGCGUUGUUCGGAAUCACUGGGCGUAAAGCGCGCGCAGGCGGGACGUGCAAGUCGGAAGUGAAAUCUCGGGGCUCAACUCCGAGGCUGCUCCCGAUACUGCCGACCUGGAGACCAGUAGAGGUGGGUAGAAUUCCCGGUGUAGCGGUGAAAUGCGCAGAUAUCGGGAGGAACACCUAUGGCGAAGGCAGCUCGCUGGGACGUUACUGACGCUGAGACGCGAAAGCGUGGGGAGCAAACAGG